rnacentral:rRNA from 1 species
GCUGGCGGUGCGCCUUAUGCAUGCAAGUCGAGCGAAGCUUUUCAGUAGUUUACUACUGAAAAUGACUGAGCGGCGAACGGGUGAGUAACGCGUGAGCAAUCUACCUUAGUUACAGGGAUAGCCCGAGGAAACUCGGAUUAAUACCUGAUAUUCUUUACAUUUCGCAUGAAAUUAAAAGGAAAGGUCAGCCGAACUAAGAUGAGCUCGCGUUCUAUCAGCUAGUUGGUGAGGUAAAAGCUCACCAAGGCAACGACGGAUAGCUGGUCUGAGAGGACGAUCAGCCACACUGGGACUGAGACACGGCCCAGACUCCUACGGGAGGCUGCAGCAGGGAAUAUUGUGCAAUGAACGAAAGUUUGACACAGCGACACCGCGUGUGGGAUGACGGAUCUAGGUUUGUAAACCACUUUCAGGAGGGAAGAAAAUGACGGUACCUCCACAAGAAGCCCCGGCCAACUACGUGCCAGCAGCCGCGGUAAUACGUAGGGGGCGAGCGUUGUCCGGAUUUAUUGGGCGUAAAGAGCUCGUAGGCGGUUCAACAAGUCGGUCGUAAAAGUUCAGGGCUCAACCCUGAAAUGUCGAUCGAUACUGUUGUGACUAGGAUAC